AACACAUGAUCAACUUACCCUAUAGUGAAAAAUAACCUCGGGAAACUGAGGAUAAUGUUUCAUAGUUGAAAAGGCUUGGAAAAGUUUUUCAAUGAAAGGAAAAGAAAAAUGGUUUUUUUCCGCUAUAGGAUAGGAUCGUGCUCGAUUAUGGUUGUUGGUGAGGUAACGGCUCACCAAGCCGAUAAUCGAUAGGGGCCGUGAGAGCGGGUGCCCCGAGAUGGGUACUGAGACAACGACCCAGGCCUUACGAGGCGCAGCAGGCGCGAAACCUCCGCAAUACACGAAAGUGUGACGGGGUUACCCAAAGUGUUCAAUCUUGAACUGUGGUAGGUGAGUAAUGUCCCCUACUAGAAAGGAGAGGGCAAGGCUGGUGCCAGCCGCCGCGGUAAAACCAGCUCUUCAAGUGGUCGGGAUAAUUAUUGGGCUUAAAGUGUCCGUAGCCGGUUUAGCAAGUUCCUGGUAAAAUCGGGUAGCUUAACUAUCUGUAUGCUAGGAAUACUGUUAUACUAGAGGGCGGGAGAGGUCUGAGGUACUACAGGGGUAGGGGUGAAAUCUUAUAAUCCUUGUAGGACCACCAGUGGCGAAGGCGUCAGACUGGAACGUGCCUGACGGUGAGGGACGAAAGCCAGGGGAGCGAACCGGAUUAGAUACCCGGGUAGUCCUGGCCGUAAACGAUGCAUACUAGGUGAUGGCAUGGCCAUGAGCCGUGUCAGUGCCGUAGGGAAACCGUUAAGUGUGCCGCCUGGGAAGUACGGUCGCAAGGCUAAAACUUAAAGG
rnacentral:rRNA from 1 species